rnacentral:tRNA from 1 species
GCCAGCGUAGCUCAGUGGUAGAGCAGUGGUUUUGUAAACCAUUGGUCGCGGGUUCGAAUCCCCCCGCUGGCUCCA